AGUGAACGCUGGCGGUAGGCCUAACACAUGCAAGUCGAACGGCAGCACAGUAAGAGCUUGCUCUUACGGGUGGCGAGUGACGGACGGGUGAGGAAUACAUCGGAAUCUACUUUUUCGUGGGGGAUAACGUAGGGAAACUUACGCUAAUACCGCAUACGACCUACGGGUGAAAGCAGGGGAUCUUCGGACCUUGCGCGAUUGAAUGAGCCGAUGUCGGAUUAGCUAGUUGGCGGGGUAAAGGCCCACCAAGGCGACGAUCCGUAGCUGGUCUGAGAGGAUGAUAAGCCACACUGGAACUGAGACACGGUCCAGACUCCUACGGGAGGCAGCAGUGGGGAAUAUUGGACAAUGGGCGCAAGCCUGAUCCAGCCAUACCGCGUGGGUGAAGAAGGCCUUCGGGUUGUAAAGCCCUUUUGUUGGGAAAGAAAAGCAGCAGGUUAAUACCCCGCUGUUCUGACGGUACCCAAAGAAUAAGCACCGGCUAACUUCGUG
rnacentral:rRNA from 1 species